rnacentral:rRNA from 1 species
CACGUAGGCACCAAGCGUUGUCCGGAUUUAUUGGGCGUAAAGAGCUCGUAGGCGGUUUGUCGCGUCUGCUGUGAAAUCUGGGGGCUCAACCCCCAGCCUGCAGUGGGUACGGGCAGACUAGAGUGCGGUAGGGGAGAUUGGAAUUCCUGGUGUAGCGGUGGAAUGCGCAGAUAUCAGGAGGAACACCAAUGGCGAAGGCAGAUCUCUGGGCCGUAACUGACGCUGAGGAGCGAAAGCAUGGGGAGCGAACAGG